CUUCGACACCGAUAGAAGAGACCUCGCCGACGCCGGCUUCCGGUUCUCUGGAGCUGCUGCACCGUUGCCCGCACUCGUGGCUUCCGAUCUGACGGUGGAUAACCAUGCUGCUGCCAUCACCACCGCCAUUGUUUGCUACGAUUACUAGGCGUUUUAGCUGAUCCAGAAUUUUGUAAUCUGCAACCUUGGUGUUUAAUGGAGACGCCAAUAAAUGUAUGCGUCACAAGUUAGUGCUGCAGCUUUGGCACGCCGUUAUAACCGUGAGAUCUCAUGGAGUACUCCUUGAUCAGUUUGGAGAAGAAUGAAUUCUCUCUUUCCAGUAACUUAGCUGUUGCUGAGUCGACUGAUGCAGUCGCCUCAUCCAGGACGAGGAUGCUGCUUUUCUUUAGCAAAGCUCUUCCGAGACAAAACAGCUGCCUCUGGCCAACGCUCCAGUUCUCUCCAUUCUCCACCACUGAGGCCACAAUUACAGGAAUUUUACCUCCCAGAUUUGGUUGUCGGAGUGUUGCUCUAAGGGGUCAAGAUUGCCUCGGAUGGUUCCCUCGAACAUGGUUGGAUCCUGUGGAAUGAUACU